rnacentral:rRNA from 1 species
GACGUAGGGGACGAGCGUUGUCCGGAUUCAUUGGGCGUAAAGAGCGUGUAGGCGGCCAGAUAGGUCGGUUGUGAAAACUGGAGGCUCAACCUCCAGACGUCGACCGAAACCCUCUGGCUAGAGUCCGGAAGAGGAGAAUGGAAUUCCUGGGUGUAGCGGUGAAAUGCGCAGAUAUCAGGAAGAACACCCGUGGCGAAGGCGGUUCUCUGGGACGGUACUGACGCUGAGACGCGAAAGCGUGGGGAGCGAACAGG